CCUACGGGUGGCUGCAGUCAUGAAUAUUCCACAAUGGACGAAAGUCUGAUGGAGCGACGCCGCGUGCAGGAAGACGCCCUUCGGGGUGUAAACUGCUUUUAUAAGGGACGAAUUCGUGACGGUACCUUAUGAAUAAGAGGUUGCUAACUCUGUGCCAGCAGCAGCGGUAAUACAGAGACCUCAAACGUUAUCCGGAGUUAUUGGGCGUAAAGGGUCCGCAGGUGGUUGUGUAAGUCAGUGGUUAAAUUCCAGCGCUUAACGUUGGAGCUGCCAUUGAUACUGCAUAACUUGAGGCUGGGAGAGGUAUACGGAACGCACGGUGUAGUCGUAAUAAGCGUUGAUAUCGUGCGGAACACCAAAGGCGAAGGCAGUAUACUAGAACAGUCCUGACACUCAGGGACGAAAGCGUGGGGAGCGAAUAGGAUUAGAUACCCCAGUAGUCC
rnacentral:rRNA from 1 species